GACGAACGCUGGCGGCGUGCUUAACACAUGCAAGUCGAACGGAAAGGCCCCUUUGGGGGUACUCGAGUGGCGAACGGGUGAGUAACACGUGAGUAACCUGCCCUUGACUUCGGGAUAACUUCAGGAAACUGGGGCUAAUACCGGAUAGGAAUCCUUGCUGCAUGGUGGGGGUUGGAAAGCUUCGGCGGUUUUGGAUGGACUCGCGGCUUAUCAGCUUGUUGGUGGGGUAGUGGCUUACCAAGGCUUUGACGGGUAGCCGGCCUGAGAGGGCGACCGGCCACAUUGGGACUGAGAUACGGCCCCGACUCCUACGGGAGGCAGCAGUGGGGAAUAUUGCCCAAUGGGCGGAAGCCUGAUGCAGCAACGCCGCGUGCGGGAUGACGGCCUUCGGGUUGUAAACCGCUUUCAGCAGGGGCGAAGCUUGUGGUGACGGUACCUGCAGAAGAAGCACCGGCUAACUACGUG
rnacentral:rRNA from 1 species